rnacentral:rRNA from 1 species
UACGAAGGGGGCUAGCGUUGCUCGGAAUUACUGGGCGUAAAGCGCACGUAGGCGGCUUUCUAAGUCGGGGGUGAAAUCCUGGAGCUCAACUCCAGAACUGCCUUCGAUACUGGAGAGCUCGAGUCCGGGAGAGGUGAGUGGAACUGCGAGUGUAGAGGUGAAAUUCGUAGAAUAUUCGCAAGAACACCAGUGGCGAAGGCGGCUCACUGGCCCGGUACUGACGCUGAGGUGCGAAAGCGUGGGA